rnacentral:lncRNA from 1 species
UUCUUGAGUGCAGUGAGUUGAAAUUGUUUACCCUAGACACUUGAGAGAAACACUGAUAGUGUGCAUCUAUGAGGUUCUGUUACUUUCGAUUCCUCUCUUGAAUUGAUUGAUCAUUUUUGUCAUGCUUGGAAUUGCUUUGAUGACUUCAUGAGUAUCUAUUUUCUCUGAUCUUGUGCUGGAUACUAUCUAUUUCCCUUUCUUUGCCCAGAUUUCUUGAGGACUGUGUAAUUCUGUUUGUUUUCUGUUUGUUUUCAUCCUUUGAGUUUUUGUUUUCUGUGUGUUGAGUCUGUGUCACUCCCCUGAUGUCCUCUUAUCUGUUCCCUGAUUUGUG